rnacentral:rRNA from 1 species
UGCCAGCAGCCGCGGUAAUACGGAGGGGGUUAGCGUUGUUCGGAAUUACUGGGCGUAAAGCGCACGUAGGCGGAUUGGAAAGUAUGGGGUGAAAUCCCAGGGCUCAACCCUGGAACUGCCCUGUAAACUAUCAGUCUAGAGUUCGAGAGAGGUGAGUGGAAUUCCAAGUGUAGAGGUGAAAUUCGUAGAUAUUUGGAGGAACACCAGUGGCGAAGGCGGCUCACUGGCUCGAUACUGACGCUGAGGUGCGAAAGUGUGGGGAGCAAACAGGAUUAGAUA